ensembl:lncRNA
UUUGGAUUUUUUGAAACACUUUUCACUUUGUUGACGGAAAUUGAAUGAAAUAUAGAUAUUAUAUAAUACAAAAAGAUAUAUACAUGUAUACAUAUAAAUGUCUAUAUGUACAUAUUAGAAAAGAACACUGUUUGUCACAUUUGAUUUGUGUGCAACACGUUCAGUGGGUGUCUAAGACUGGUUGAUUUCCAGCACACCACGGAUAUCUGUGUUGGGGAAAUAGCUCAUGCAAUGUCACUGGAACUGCUGCCGUGGAUUGUAGCCCGGUUUUUAACACGACUAGAAGACGUUUAUGCUACCAGCACAUUUCUCACUGUCUUCUGCAAAGUUGUCAUGCUUUUUUACUUGCACUAAACAUAGGUACAAAUAAACAAACACACAUACUAGGAGGAGACACACAGGCAGAGAGACAGACAGUCACACGCGCACACACACACACACACAUACAUACACAACUAUUCACUCCAAUCUAACCAAUCAAUAAUUUGCUCCAGUAAGAUGAAGUCAUCUGCCUCUUCUAGUAAAGAUGGUGUCAAUCUUUCUCAGGAUAGAUAUAUCAGAGGCUUAAGAGCUAACAUGGGGAAGGAGGAUACAAUUCACUGGGCCCAUAUGGCUUGGCAGGGCCCAACAAUGUCAAUAACAUACAGUUGGUCUGUACGUGAGGGGGCCCUGGCAUGUAUCUUUUCAGGGGGCCCAGGAUUCCUAGCAACUGCCCUGGUCCUUGCACCAACUCCUAUAUAGACUACACAAGGCUCUUGUAGGCCCAUCCACCCACCACACAUACAUCUACGUGGACUGGUAACAUUAGGCCAAACUAACCACACACACAGAAACAACCACACUGCCACACCAGUGCUGUUGCAGUUCAACACUUCAGUGUCCGACCCUUUGUGCUUCUACCAUCUGUCGUCUUUAAUUUGAAAGGUUAGAUCUGGUGUCGUGACUCCACUCAUUGGCAUGUGCCUUUUUUCUGUGAUUUUCCUCAUGAGAUGGCGAUGCCACUCUUAAACGUUCAGAAACUGCGGAAGGGCGGAGCGGAUGGGGAACUGGGUGGUUGGCGGUGGGGUUGUCGAGUUGAAUUGUGUGGAGCAUAAGUAUGUCAUGGACUACCACAGGUUAUGGCCUGCGCGUACAAUGCGAUGCCAGGAGUCAGAAAUAAUACUGCCGAUCUGAUCAUCCUAAGAACAUUUGACGGAACAAACAAACUAUCACCCCACUUCUUGUCAUCAUCUAGAAAGACUUCAACAAUGUGAUGUUACCUAGCAACAAAACAGCUACCACACAAAAACAAACGUUCCGUUUCUUGUGCUUAUGUGUGUCGCCCACUUCUAUGCCAUGGCUUGUGAAAAAGCAGCUUGCCUUCUAUACUUUAUGUUCUUUCCAUCUGAAAUUUAUUUUUGUAUGAAUAUCAAAUUAAUUAAAUAAUAGGACUCAUUUAUUUCUUUUGCAUGGAUUUAUUAUAGGCUUUUUUUUUGCUGAAAAAUAAUUAAAAAGUGCUAUUCAAACUGUUGUUUUAUCAUUUGAACACCGUGAUCUAAAAGAGGAUAUAUACAGUACAGUGAUGGUAGUGACAUUCAACCACUUGAACUCUUAGUAAGAACUUAUGAAAGAUUGUCUUCAUUUGAGCACGAACCUUUUUAUUACCAAUAAAGCAGCCUUCCAGUUACGAA